UUGCGUCUCCUGCACUGCAAGCAGGUUCUUUACCACUAGCACCACCUGGGAAGCUCUCUGGGUAAAAGUGAGGAGGCUUUACUGAGGAAGAGGGGAGAAGCAGGUUCAAGACACAGAGGGAAGAUCUUGACAAGAACCUUGGCAACACACACAAAAAAAACAAGCAAACAAACCAAUGACUCUUUCAAGGUGCUGAAGAUUACCUAAAAAGUCUUGUCAGCAGAUCCAAGGCUUGUCAGCAGAUGACACAAGUAGACGUGAUGCCUGAUGCCCUGACUGAGGAUUCUUUCUGAUGAAAUACAAGCUACCCACCUGUGACUAAAGGUAUUAAGAGUGAUGAAAAAUAUGGACAGGCUGCCCAUGAACUGCAAGAAGUGGAACUGGAAUAAACCCAGAAAAAUGUGAAACUUGCACAUGGUCAUCCCAAUGCAGCGGUGUUCCCACGGAAGAUGAUUUCCUGGGAUUUGGACAAGAGAGAAUAGACAAGCUUGGAAAUGUCAUCCUUUCUCAUGACUUUAGAGUAACCAAAAUAAUUUUUGACAGCAUUAAUUUUUGGCCUUUAAGUAAACAUCUUUCUGAUAUUUGAUUUCGUAAUGCAGAACAGUGUAUUAAAAAAAUUGAAACCAUCACAUUGCUUGACUCCAUAAGCAAUACAUUUGAAAGCAUUUAUUUCAUGGCUACCCAAAUAUAUAUAUGCUGUUUUCUUUUACAGAUCUACUUUUUUUUCUCUCAAAGGACUUUCGAAAAAUCACUUCACAAUGUCACGUUGAGAGGUAGGUGGCUGUUAGGUAAAGCACAUUAUCUGGCUAAGUAACUAAAUUCAUACUGUACCACAGCUUGAGAAUCUUCAAAACUAUAUCUUUGAAAGUGAAAAUCUAUUCUCUCUGACUUUUGUAGAAAACAGUCAGAUAUGUAUCUUUUAAUUUAGAGUUCUACCAAAUUACUGGUUAUAUUAAUAACUAAGACAUACACACACACACAUACUCACACACAUGUUUUCUUAGGCUGGAAAAAGGAGUUAGUUGCCUAAGACUAGAGUUUUUAUUUUCCAUUCUUUCUAGCAUCUGGUAGCUUAGAAUCAUACACACAGCAGGUAUAUAAAACACACUCGAUGAAGACUCAACCAUAAUGUCCCACUGGGUUCAGAAUCCAGCAUCUAAAUUUAUUUUUCAGGUAAAACAAAAUGCUUCCUAAACCUAACUUUACGUGAGAGACAUUUUCUUUUCACUCUUUUUAUUUAGAAAAAAAUUUGAUAACAUUUAUAUGUAAGAAGCAUAUAUCUUAACCAGACCUUCUUUUGAUUAAAAGGGAAACAAUAACCCCUUUUAUCUUAAUAUGAUGACUUGUCUGCAUUAGGUCUAAGAAAUAAAAAAACAAACAAACACACAAUUAUAUUUAUUUCCAGUGGGACUGGACAAAAUCAGAAUGAUGGAGCAUCCAAGCCAAAAACAGUAAACUUCUUAAUCAAGAUUAUCCCUUAAGACUACAGAAAGACUGGGAGGACAUUUCAUUUGUAUUCUCUUAUUCCCGCAGCCCCCCACCAUGAUUGGUAUUAUAACUGAUCUUCAAUUACUAAUGUUAUUAUUGAUUUUCAGUGGUGAAACUUAAUCAUUAGUUGUCUUACAAAUUGCCAUUAGUUCCCUUGCUAUAUUUAAUUUUUAAAAUUAUUUUCAGUAUAAUGAAUAUUUAUUUUAUUCUUCCUAUCACAGCCUUUUCAGAUUUACUUCUUUGAAAUAUUCUCAUCUGUAAGUAGCAUCCUAGUUAUAACCUUAACUGUUAUGAAUGUUUUCUAUCUUGGAACUGUACAUAUUUAUUUCUGUUACAAGAUAUAACAUAAAAAGAACUUUAAAAGAGGUAGAAGUUUUAUGAAAGUAAUCUCAUUAUUAUUUAAUAGUGCUUCCAUAAAUGUAUAUAGUAUCCCUAAAAUAUUUAUCUGUUUUUUAAAACUUUAUCGCACCUGAUAAAUCAGCAUGGAUCCCAUAAGAAAUAUUUCAAGAUGACCUGAAAGUUAAUGAGUUAGUAAGCUGGGUUCAAAGCUCAAGAAACCCAUGAAAUGUUAUCAGAAACACUUAACUUUUGAAUUUGAAAGUCUUGGAAGAGAAUUAACUUUAUGACAAAAAAAAUUAAAAUAGAAUGCAGUUAUAAACAUGAGUUUUCAUUUGACUUAUUUUUAUCACCUCAAAUCCAUACUGUCAUUCCACACUUCUUUAAAGCACUGAUAUUUGAUAGCAUCAGAGCAAAUUAAACAAGAUGAUGGCUGGCUGAAGUCAUUGGAACAAAUGAUUUUUGUUAAUAAAAUAUCAGUAUCAUUAUACAUUGUGAUUUAGAGGAAAUAUAAAAAUAUGACUCCUACUGGUUGUAACAUUAAUUGCUUAAAAUCUUGUCACUGCAAAACUUUUACACACUGUAGAAUUUUUAGUUUAUACAACUAAAUUUUAUGGUGAUACACCCCUAAUAUUUAGACCAUUAUUUAAAAUAAUUAUGUGUUCUUUAUGGAAGAGUGACUUUGUCUCUAGAAGACAAAUGGAUAACUCAACCAUAAAUAUGGUGUAUAUUUUUCUUUCAUGAUUUUUGUAGAUAGCCAAGGUUCAGGGAAUGAAUAUAGUGGAAAAGUGUCUUAGAAAUAUGAUUGAAAAUACAAAAUUUUUCAAGAUAUUUUUAAGACUUAAAACACUACACCUGAUUGCAUAUCCAUUCAUCCCACACUUAUCUAUUAAGUUAAUAUUGGCUACCCUCUAGGGAUACUUUAGUUAAUAAAACAUUCUUUUUAUAUUUACCCUUUCUGUUUGUUACCUGUUUAAGAGUACAGGUAGAAACUUUCUGUGAAACAUAUUUCGAAAUAGUCUUUAAAAGUCUGGUAUUGUGUUUUAUAAAAUUAUUUUUACAGCUGUUUCUCUCCCCUCAAAUGAGCACCCAGUUACUUGAAAAGAUUUAACUACAAUAGCAAUGAACCCCUCAAUUUUUACAGUUUUAAGCCAUUUCCCACAAAUUUCUGGGACAUUAAAAAAUAUUUUCAAAAUGCACAUCUCAAAAUUUAAAGUAUAUGGUAUUUCAUACAGGAUUCUUUGUUUUUUAUAAGUAAUUUUAUUGCUGUUUUUUACAACAUGUUGACAUAGUACUGUUUGCUAAUAAUUUAUUUGAAAGGAUGCCUCGUAACGUGGUAAAAGGUGACAUGGUGACAUUUUAAUGUAGAUUUUCCUUGUGUUUUUUACUUCAUUAAGACGUUUUCUGUGUCUGUAGUACAGUUGAUUAUAACACUGGAAUAAUCAUAGGUUUGAUUUCUGUGUGGGUUGCAUGGUAUAAGUCCCUCAUUGGCCUUUAAUUGAAGCUACUAAUUAUCUUUCAAAUACUAAAGACAAGAUGUUUGAUUGGUAUCUUAAACCUUGAAAGCCUACUAAAAACAGAUGCUGGAGUUAUGAUGGCCACUAUCAAGUUUAUAUAUAUUUAUAAAGUACCCUAUCAUUAAUAUGAAUGUCUUAAUAAACAUUUAAA